rnacentral:rRNA from 1 species
GUGACAUACCACUUGUUGCCUCGGCGGAUCAGCCCGCUCCCGGUAAAACGGGACGGCCCGCCAGAGGACCCCUAAACUCUGUUUCUAUAUGUAACUUCUGAGUAAAACCAUAAAUAAAUCAAAACUUUCAACAACGGAUCUCUUGGUUCUGGCAUCGAUGAAGAACGCAGCAAAAUGCGAUAAGUAAUGUGAAUUGCAGAAUUCAGUGAAUCAUCGAAUCUUUGAACGCACAUUGCGCCCGCCAGUAUUCUGGCGGGCAUGCCUGUUCGAGCGUCAUUUCAACCCUCAAGCACAGCUUGGUGUUGGGACUCGCGUUAAUUCGCGUUCCCCAAAUUGAUUGGCGGUCACGUCGAGCUUCCAUAGCGUAGUAGUAAAACCCUCGUUACUGGUAAUCGUCGCGGCCACGCCGUUAAACCCCAACUUCUGAAUGUUGACCUCGGAUCAGGUAGGAAUACCCGCUGAACUUAAGCAUAUCAAA